rnacentral:lncRNA from 1 species
UUGGUUAACUCGAUGCCAUACUUUUUGUAGCCGUCAUCGCCAAUAAAGGUCACGCUAAAAAAUACUAAUGUGUUAAGAAAUUACUAAUAUUUAUUGUAAAAUGUUUAAAACAAUUGAUCUCAUAAUAUUUUGUUAUUUUAAAGUACAUAUUAAAGCUGUGGUUAUGAUAAGUUCUACUUGACUUUCCUUUCUCUGGUGCUUGCUGUUAUUAAAAGAACAUUAUAUCUCAAUUUAUGGUCUUUACUAAAUCCCAAGAUCAAUAAAAGCGAGCAAAACCUAACGGAUAUAUUAUAUAGGUAGGGCUGCCAUUGUCCCGAUUUUUACGGAGGAGAGCACAACAUUAAGCUAAUUAAAACUUUUAUAGCGUUUUUCAGCAGAAAAACUGGGAUAAUCUCAGCCCUAACUAUAGUUAAAUUUGUAUUUUAUAUUUUUCAGAUAAUAUAUUAAGUUAGAAUGUCAUUUAUUCAUUACUAACCCGUAUUACGGGUUGCUUACUGCUAGUUCAUAUUAAAUUGUAAAAUUUAGAAUAUAAAAAUUAGAAUGCUUU